AGCUGCCAUGUUAUGAGCUCCCCUAAGGAGAGGCCCAUAUGGUAAGGAAUUGAGAAUGACCUUCAGCCAACAACCAUCAAAGAAAUAAGGCCCUCAGACCAGCAGCCCACAAGGAACUGAGAGCUGCCAGACCACAUGAAUGUGCUUGGAAGCGGAUCCUUCCCUCAUUGAGCCUUGACAAGGACAGCCACCACAGCCAGCACUCUGCUGCUGUGAGACACCUGGAAGCAGAGAACUUGGCUUAGCCACAUGCUGUCUCCUGACCUAUAGAAAACUGAGAUAAUUAGUGUUGUUUUAAGCCACCAAAUUGUAGGAUAAUUCAUUAUACAGCAAUAGGUAGCUAAUACAGAAUGAUUAUUUUUUGUAAGAGAAGUCUGCACAUGAUUCUAGGCUCACAUUUAUUGUGCUUAAGAAUUACCUUGGAACCUGAAACCUAUAAUCCAAAUCUUUGAAUCUGGAUAAAGGAACAAGAUCCAAAGAAUUUUAUUUAGCCACUGGGGAUAGAGCACUAGCUGUACAGCACUCUUUUGGAAGAGACUAAAGAUACUGCAUUUUGAAAUACCUUAGAUAAUUCCGUUGCACAUGGGGGAGGAAAGUUUGAAUGCAGUGAAAAGAAAAUACCAAGAUAUGCAAUUCAGAGAUGUGGGUCUUGAUGUCCAAGAGAAAGAAGGGGCAAGAAUCCAGGAACCAUGGGGAAGUUGGCCUUAAAGUUUUGGCUUUUUUCUCUGAAACAGGAGGAAAGACUUUUUUAAAGGGUGAAAAUACAUCAAAACUUUGAAAUAGAAGGAAAAGCCUCAGUGUUCUCCAAAAGAAAGACUGAGGCUAUCUACAAAGCCUGAGGAAGUGGAGGUAUUUGUUCAAGGUUUAAAGAGACAGGAAAAAAUAGACUCCUAGAGAAGGCUUAGUGAGCCACUGAUAAACUUCAAAAUAAAAGUAAAUGUAUUGAGAUUGCCUGAGGAUGACUGAUGGGCACAAUUUGAAAGAAAUGAAGAAACUCACUCUACCCACCCUCCUUAUUCCACUGGGAAUGGAAGAAGGAAAAUCUCUGUGGAAGAAGAUUGCAAGAACAGUAUCCAGGGAAAAGGCAAGUCUGUUGUGGUAAGGAAGCAGAAAAAGGGCUUUAGGGAAAGGUUAAGGGGAAUAUGUCGUUAAUAGAACUGGGGCUCCAUGGGCUCAGGUGAAGCAUCCCAUUGAGGAGCAGCAAGGGUGGGAGUGGGCCUGAACUGGAUAGAAAGAGAGGGAAGCAGGACUCACUCACAGGGGAGUAGAAAGCAGUUUUUAAUGAUUAAGGGAUAAAGGAGGCUGAAAGUUGGAGAUGCGCUAGAGAUUCUUGUUUGUUAUGGGAGGACAGAGCAAAUACCAAUUAAGUUCAUUGAAUUAACCUGCCCCUAAAAUCUAAGUUAAAUAAGUUAAAUAUUGAUCCAUUAUCCACAUCAACAUCUCCAGGUCCUCUAAGAUGAUGUGCAAGACAAGGGCUGGCAGCAGAAGUCUCUUAUAAGUCUCCCUUUGAGAGGUGGUCCUACAGUGAAGUUCAGGUCUCAGGAAAACAGUGGUACACAUCCAUACUCAAGGUGUUGAAAGGCCUGUAUUUCUUUAAAAUUUCUCUUCAUCUUGUGUAGCAAUUUGCCUUGUGUCUAACUUGGCAUGGAGGAAAGAUGAUCCAUUGGCUAGGGGUUAGAGGGCCUGAGAGUCCUAGUCCUAGCUCCACUCCUGAUACACUAGAUGACCUUAAAAAGCCAUUAACUUUCCUGAUACCAUUUGUAAAGUGAGGGGCCUGAACCAGAUGUUCCCUUAAGUCCCUUCCAGCACCAACAUACUAAAAGCCUGAAAACACAA
rnacentral:lncRNA from 1 species